CGCGGGGUGGAACAGCCCGGUAGGUCGUCAGGCUCAUAACCUGAAGGUCAUAGGUUCAAAUCCUAUCCAGGAUU
rnacentral:tRNA from 1 species